rnacentral:rRNA from 1 species
AAAGAGGAUAACAUGCAAAAACCAAAGCCUCGCAAGAACCUCUCCUUCCCCCUCCCCUUCCCAUGGAGCUCGCCCUCCCUCCCUUCCCCUCUCUCCUCCCCAAAUCCCACCACCUCCAGCCCCAUCCGCCCUCCCGGCCUCGCCAUGGCCGCCUCCAAGAACCGGCCAUGGCGCUGGCCCAAGCUCCGCCGCCCUGGCUGGCGCUCUCGCUCGACGAGGCGAGAAGCGCCCAUGUCCCUCACCACGCGCGGCCCGUCCAAGAGACAAGAGCUCGCCCGCCCGCCUCCUUCGCGCGCGGGGAGCCCCGGUUCGUCUCGGAGACCAAGCUCAUCACGUUCCACUCCUCCGCGGGGCGCCUGGGCGCCGCCCGCGAGGUGUUCGACGGAAUGGGCCACAGGGACCUGCUCGCCUGGUCGGCCAUGAUCGGCGCGUACGCCACCAGGGGCAUCUUCCACGAGGUGCUCGCGCUCGCGGUGAGCAUGAUCGGCGAAGGCGUGCUCCCCGACAGGUUCUUGAUCACUCGGAUUUUGCAGGCGUGUGCCUACGCCGAGGACCAGAGGCUCGGGAGCGUGCUGCACUCCAUGGCUAUCCGGAGAGGGUUUAUGGGCAGGGUGAAGGAUGUGCCUGUGGGGAACUCGGUGCUGGUGAUGUAUGUCAAAUGUGGAGAGCUGGGGCGCGCGCGUGCGGUGUUUGACAAGAUGAGGCGCCGGGACCUGGGCACGUGGAACUCGAUGAUCUUUGGGUGCUGCAGGUCUUGCCAGUGGGAGGAAGCGCGGAGGCUUCUUGAUGAGAUGAGGCGGGAAGGGACAGAGCCAGGGGUUGUCACAUGGAACACAUUGAUUUCGAGCUAUGCCAGGUCUGGGGAUCUUGAUGUGGCCGUGGACCUGCUGGGACAGAUGGAAGAGUGUGGAGUAGAGCCAGAUGUUGUCACGUGGACAAGCCUUGUGUCAGGUUUCGUUCAUAGCGAUAGAGGGGAUGAGGCACUUCAGUGUUUUAUCCGGAUGCGUGUGGCUGGAGUGGAACCAAAUGGCAUGACAAUUGCAUGUGCCAUCUCAGCUUGUGCGAGUUUGAAGUUAUUGAGACAGGGAAGCCAGCUCCAUUGCCAUGCGAUUAAGAUUGGGACUGUAAACAACGUCUUGUCAGGGAACUCCUUGGUUGACAUGUAUGCUAAAUGUGACGAAAUAGUCGCAGCAUAUAGAAUAUUUAAUGAGAUACCCGAGAAGGACAUCUUCUCCUGGAAUUCAAUGGUUGCAGGGUAUGCGCAAGCGGGAUACUGUGGCAAGGCGUACGAACUCUUCUGCAAGAUGGAAAGUUAUGGUAUCCAGCGCAAUGCGAUAACCUGGAAUACAAUGAUAUCAGGGUACAUACGGAAUGGGGAUGACGAGAGAGCUUUUGAACUAUUCCAGACCAUGGAAAGUUAUGGAGUGAAAAAGGACACAGCUUCCUGGAACAUACUCAUUGCUGGUUCAGUGCAUAAUGGAUAUUUUGAUAGAGCCCUAAGAAUAUUUCGGCAGAUGCAAUCAGUUCUGAUAAAGCCCGACUACAUUACAAUCCUAAGUAUCAUCCCAGCGUUCGCAAAUCUGGUGGCAGCGUGGAAAGUACGGGAGAUCCAUGCCUGUAUUUUUCACCACAACUUAGAAAUGGAUGGGAAAAUCGCAAAUGCGCUUAUUAAUGCCUAUUCAAAAUCUGGUGAUCUUGCUGGUGCUUGUGCUGUUUUUGAUAGGCACUCAUCAAGGAACACUAUUUCAUGGAAUUGCAUCAUUGUUGCACAUUUGCUGCAUGGGUCUCCAACUAAAGUGGUGGAUUACUUCUUUAAAAUGAAGCAACAAGGUGUACUGCCAGAUCAUACAACUUUGACAGCUGUUAUCAGGGCCUACGGUAUGGAGGGGAUGGUAUCUGAAGGGAGAGAAAUAUUUCUCAAUAUGGACAAAGACUAUAAUGUAACUCCAGAUUUAGAUCAUUAUGCAGCAAUGGUAGACCUUCUUGGACGGUCUGGGAGACUGCAAGAGGCAUAUGCAAUUAUUGAUGAAAUGCCACUCGCACCCAAUUUAACACUGUGGGAGUCAUUACUAACCUCAGCAAGAAUGCAUGGAAAUGUAAGGCUGGCACUACUGGCGGCUACAGAGAUGUCCAUGAUUGAACCCAAUGAUCCUAGAAUCCAAGUAGUGGUUUCUAGUCUGCAGGAUCUUGCUGGACAAUCUUUUGAUGUGCCAAAGGUGACAAUACACAGCAAGGAAAGAAUGUUGGGUGGGGUUGAGAGUUGUUCAACAGAAAUCAGAAAUAUGGUAUAUUUGUUCUCAACUGGUGAUAAGGUUGCCUCGGAGCAUGAAGCAGCUGAAUUAAAAUUGAUGAUGAUUGAGAUGGGACCCUCUAUGCUUAGCGCUGGUAAUGGAACUCUAGAAGUGGAAGAAGAGAAGGAAGAACUUGCGGGAAUCCAUUGUGAGAAAUUAGCAAUUAUUGUUGGGAUUUUUAAUUCCCCUCACUUCAGAAGCAUACGGAUAAUCAAAACUGCAAGGAUGUGUAACCAUUGUCACACCUUCGCUAAGUUAGUUUCGGAGAAGUAUGGGCGUCAGAUACUGAUCAAGGAUCCGAAGUAUUUGCACAAGUUUGAGAAUGGUAAUUGCUCUUGUGAAGAUUAUUGGUAAACUCAACGGGUAUAAGUCAGCUGGGCAAAUGAGGCUGCCAGGUGGCUAGACUGAAAUGUUCCAGAUAUAGGAAUACAGCCAGCUAACUGUAUGAACAGUGUUGUUCAUCAUAUUUUUACAUCACAUACCUCAGCAAGAGGUUGCAUUGUAUUUGAAUUUUAUUGACGCUGAAUAUGGCCUCAACAUUAGUAUAAAGUUGACACUUGGCACUUGGGGGUUAGCCUUUCCAGGAAUUCUAUCUCCGGAUAAAACAUUAUUGCUCUGGUAUCAUUAAAACAAAGCCAUUCAGAUGAUACAUGCUCCCAGCAUUAGUGAAUUCAUUGUAAACGAAUUGGUAGCACAGAUCACUGCAAGUGGCACAACAUACAAGAUUAUGCUUAUAAUUCAACCACGUAUUGAAUGGUUGCAUGCCUCUAUGCAUAUGAUUAAUGGGAUUCGUCGAUGAUCUCCAGCUCAGAAGCAAUAUGACCUUGAAUAAUGAUUGGCCUCACUAAAGAAGCUUUCAUUAAGCACUAGGGCACUGCUGCUGCAAAUGGAAACAAUGUACAAAGUUUUUUGCCAUACCAUAAACCUUACUGAUACUGAAUUAGUAAGGUACUGCAGCUAUUGGCUAUAUUUGUUGGUCUAUCAAAUAUAGAAUCUAUACUUGGUGCUGCCCCUCAUUUCCCCCUCUUUUGAUCACCCAAUUCAGCAGAAAUUCUUUAUGGUGUAUCCUGCCAAACUGACCUAAUAAAUUCAAGAAUCUGUGUUCCAUUGAAUCAUCUCAGGUGCUUAUUCAUGUCGCUUUGUUUUCAAGCUAUGCUGUACAACCCUUUGUGUUGUAUUAAUGAUCAGAGAGCUAACUUGGUCUCAAGCUCAGAGCAAUGUCCUUGUUUAGAAGAAAUGAGUAUCACCAUCUCUUUCACAUGGCGCCUUCCUUUUUCCAUUUUGCUUUCUCAAUUGUCAAUUUAGUGAACCGAAGGGUAAGCAGGAGAAUUAUUCAAUUCGACUUUGCAUUUCACCGAAGUGGUACUUUUGUGUGUGCGGUUGGGGGAGUCUGUCAGUUACCAUGUCUGAGUAUCAAUCACAAAUAAGACAAUUUUUCAGAUCUGUACGGGUGCCCCUCUCCUCUUUAGGUUUACACAAAAAUUGCACACAUGUACUGUAUGAAACUUCAUGUAUAAUGGACGUGAAGUUUCUGAACAUGAGCACAUAUGUGCCCUUUAUCUGGGCGGUUGAAUAGAGCAUCAGGAUGUGCUGCAUUUAAUUCUGGUCGAGAUAUGGGUCCGCUCAUAAUGAUGGAGAUGUUCAUAUACGUACGCCGUGACUUCUGGGCUGUGGGUCAGGAUUGUAACAGAUGGACGAUCACUGUGGAUGGUUGGAAGCAGGGCUGUGGCUCAUGACGUCAUGUCCCUUCCCGAUCCGUGGAUCAGGAAACAUGCUUUCCAGCUACAGGGACAGAACCAUAGUAAAUGUGGGUGGCUGGGUGGUGUUGUCUCCUACCUCAGGCGGCUGGAUUUUUCCAUUAGCGAGAGCGGUCGUCUCGGUGGCGCACCUUCAGUGGGAACAAGACUGCCGCUGCCGGUGAAGAUGAAGUUCUUGAUGCAGCCGAUUAGAAGAUUCACCUUGCUAGAGGAGGUUAACGAUAGCGACAUCCUGAUGAAGCCGCUGCAUUACCAAGUCGCCCCACCGGUUGUCGAGCAGCAGCUCGCGUGGAUGCAGGCAGUGAGUGUCAACGGCCAGAUCUGCGACACAGGCGGCGGCAGAUGCUGAAAGGGAAGGCUCGCCGCAGGCAUCCGGGCAGUUGAUUGGCCAGAUGAACACUAAAGCUCCUGGAUGGGCCUGAAGGUAUGUCAGAAUUCAGGCGUACAGUCUGAAUUUCAUUAUAAAACUCUGAAAGUAAAGAGUCCUGGAACUUGUCACCAAUUACUAAGCUGGUGCACAGAUUAGUCAUGUAGGUAGUGUGACAUUUUAGUCCAGUAGUGCAUCUGCGCAAAAAAUCAAUGAUUUUGGUAGUGUGACAGAUCAGUGUGCUGUGCUGUUUACUGACAAAUUAGCAAAUUAGUUGUGUGCUCUUUAUCAUGGAGGCAGUGUGCUUUUGAAGUUUUAACUGACAAAUUAGCAAAUUAGCUGUGCUCUUUAUCAUGCAGGUAGUGUGCUUUUUACUGAUUAAUUAGCAAUAGCAAAUUGUGCACACAUUAGUCAUGGAGGUAGUGGGCCAUUAUAGUCCAGUACUACGUCAGCACGAAAAAUCAAAUGAUUUUGUCACUACCUUAUAUAUUGCAAAACUGUAGCAAAUUAGUUGUGAUAAUAAUUUCUGGCCUGAAAACACUGCGGCCGGUUUGUCAUCGUACUUAAUAACCAGUGUAGGAAUUUGAAUGCCCACGUUGCCUUAGAAAUAACUGCUGCUGCCGGUGAUGGAGUUCCUAAUGCAGCCGAUCAGAAGGUAAUAAGCACCUAUGAAUCUGGAUCAGCGGAAACUGGUGGGGGAAAGCUCUGUCUUUAUUUGCUUCGCGGUUUUGUUCUUGUGUUUACCAGGUUCCCUUUGGUCGACGAUUUGGACAAAAGUCAACCGUCCAUGCAUCUGCCGGCUAUCGGGAUAGCGGUGUCUUUCCGGCUCAGGGCAGCAGAAGAACUGCUGAUGGAAUUCGUGAGCGCAGAUGCGGCAAUUUGUGAGGAACAGGCAGGCGUGGAUGGAAGACGGGAGAGCUUGCCCCAGUUAUCUGAGCCCACAACGCAAGCAUUGGGCUGGUAAAAUAGACGGUAAUUACAGCAGGCGAUUGCAACGGUCGACAGGAAUGUCUCGGAGGAGGAUCAGUUUACUUGGCCUUGCGACACUUCAGACACUUACACCAUGAAGUCCACCUAAAGUCGGCUGUGUCAGGGCUUGACACGUUCUGCCACAGCCAAAUGCAUCUGGCGUAGCUAGGCGCCCCUCAAGUGCAAAAUUUUCGCUUGGCUGGCUUCGCAAAACCGGCUAUGGACGUCUGAUCGAAGGGCGUGGCACGGGCUGCAGGACGCUCCUUUGGCAUGCUACACGUGUUGCCAAGAGGAGGAUAACGUGGAUCGCAUCUUGGCAUAAUGUGUCUUUACGAGGCAAGUGUGGCACGGAUGUUUUGAGUAUUUGCAAGUCAACAUACACAUCUCGAGCCAUGGUGAUUCCUUCGUGGAGUGGUGGGGAAGGGUUCGGGAUACUUUACAGGGUUGGACAAGAGAGGUUUCGACUCCUUUGUCAUUGUGACAGCUUGGUAGCUAUGAAAGCAAAGGAAUGCGAGGGUUUUCAAUCGGGUCGACCAAAUCAGAGCACCGGCUAAUCUAGUGCAUCAAAUCUUUGAGAUCAAGUUAUGGAAACUGUUUUUUUUCCUCAG